rnacentral:rRNA from 1 species
AACCAGACUCCUACGGGAGGCAGCAGUGGGGGAUAUUGCACAAUGGGGGAAACCCUGAUGCAGCGACGUCGCGUGAGGGAAGACGGCCUUCGGGUUGUAAACCUCUGUCGCAGGGGACGAAGGAAGUGACGGUACCCUGUGAGGAAGCCCCGGCUAACUACGUGCCAGCAGCCGCGGUAAUACGUAGGGGGCAAGCGUUAUCCGGAUUUACUGGGUGUAAAGGGAGCGUAGACGGCGAUGCAAGCCAGAUGUGAAAGCCCGGGGCUCAACCCCGGGACUGCAUUUGGAACUGUGUGGCUGGAGUGUCGGAGAGGCAGGCGGAAUUCCUAGUGUAGCGGUGAAAUGCGUAGAUAUUAGGAGGAACACCAGUGGCGAAGGCGGCCUGCUGGACGAUGACUGACGUUGAGGCUCGAAAGCGUGGGGAGCAAACAGGAUUAGAUACCCCGGUA